AGGAAACAUGGAGAGUUUUUCCAUGUUUCCUGAUACAAUCUUCCUACAGAAAUUAAAAAAAAAAACUUCUGCUGUUUUUUCCUGCUUGUAGCUGCUGAACAUGAGCUACAAGUUUCAAAAAUCAUCAGGCAGACAC
rnacentral:snoRNA from 1 species